rnacentral:rRNA from 2 species
CGAACUGGUGAGUAACACGUGGGAAACCUGCCCAGAAGCGGGGGAUAACACCUGGAAACAGAUGCUAAUACCGCAUAACAACUUGGACCGCAUGGUCCGAGUUUGAAAGAUGGCUUCGGCUAUCACUUUUGGAUGGUCCCGCGGCGUAUUAGCUAGAUGGUGGGGUAACGGCUCACCAUGGCAAUGAUACGUAGCCGACCUGAGAGGGUAAUCGGCCACAUUGGGACUGAGACACGGCCCAAACUCCUACGGGAGGCAGCAGUAGGGAAUCUUCCACAAUGGACGAAAGUCUGAUGGAGCAACGCCGCGUGAGUGAAGAAGGGUUUCGGCUCGUAAAACUCUGUUGUUAAAGAAGAACAUAUCUGAGAGUAACUGUUCAGGUAUUGACGGUAUUUAACCAGAAAGCCACGGCUAACUACGUGCCAGCAGCCGCGGUAAUACGUAGGUGGCAAGCGUUGUCCGGAUUUAUUGGGCGUAAAGCGAGCGCAGGCGGUUUUUUAAGUCUGAUGUGAAAGCCUUCGGCUCAACCGAAGAAGUGCAUCGGAAACUGGGAAACUUGAGUGCAGAAGAGGACAGUGGAACUCCAUGUGUAGCGGUGAAAUGCGUAGAUAUAUGGAAGAACACCAGUGGCGAAAGCGGCUGUCUGGUCUGUAACUGACGCUGAGGCUCGAAAGUAUGGGUAGCAACAGAUUAGAUACCCUGGUAGUCCAUACCGUAACGAUGAUGCUAGUGUUGAGGGUUUCGUCCUCAGUGCUGCAGCUACGCAUAGCAUCCGCCUGG